AACGAACGCUGGCGGCAUGCCUAACACAUGCAAGUCGAACGAGAUCUUCGGGUCUAGUGGCGCACGGGUGCGUAACGCGUGGGAAUCUGCCCUUUGGUUCGGAAUAACAGUUGGAAACGACUGCUAAUACCGGAUGAUGACGAAAGUCCAAAGAUUCAUCGACAGAGGAUGAGCCCGCGUAGGAUUAGCUAGUUGGGGGGGUAAAGGCGCACCAAGGCGACGAUCCUUAGCUGGUCUGAGAGGAUGAUCAGCCACACUGGGACUGAGACACGGCCCAGACUCCUACGGGAGGCAGCAGUGGGGAAUAUUGGACAAUGGGCGAAAGCCUGAUCCAGCAAUGCCGCGUGAGUGAUGAAGGCCUUAGGGUUGUAAAGCUCUUUUACCCGGGAUGAUAAUGACAGUACCGGGAGAAUAAGCUCCGGCUAACUCCGUGCCAGCCGCCGCAGUAA
rnacentral:rRNA from 1 species